CUUAAGUGAGCUAUUUGCUAAUUUCCAACUGUCCAGAGCACUUCUCCCUUGUACCUCACGUGCACAAGACCACGAGACCGAGUCUAGGAUCAGGAGGACUCCCUUCAUCUAUAUGUAUUUCCAAGGUAUUCUGAAGAAAAGCACGUUCCAACCGAGGAACUCAGUUGCACAUCUAUGAACUGUGAAGGUGAAGAUAUUUGGAGCAACACUGUUUGGAAGAACAAGUUGGCCUAGCUGGGUUCUCGAGAGAGAGGAAGAAGGCCCAGCCAGUGUUUUCCCAUCUGUGACCAUGACAACUUCUCAGUGAAUACCUCCAAGGAACCAACGCUUCUUUCAAAGAGAUUUGUACACAUACCCAAGGAAUAUGAGUCUGCACAGUGUACCCAGGCUUCAGGUGUUGCUCAAGUUGAACGGUGGAUUUCUCUAGUCAGAUGCUCAAUUCAGACCUUUUUGAAAUGCACUCCAUGGAGGGUGAUUACCCUAUGUAAUCAAUAUUUUAACAAGACAGCAGUCACUGCCUUAAUAUCCAUGGCUCACUCUGCAGCACAGAACCAGUCUUCAACUAGAACCAGUCUUCAACCAGGAAUGCGUCCACUGGAUCUGCUUCCGAAGACUUAGGGACAUUUCUCCAAGGCUUGAGUGCAGAAGUCUACCACAGCCAUCUGCCGGUAGAGUCACAGACAUAGUCUGAGGGGGCCACAGCAAUCAUCUUGAACUUUCAGAGCUUUGCUUCACACCUGACAUCCGGGGAAGGGACAAGACUAGGCAACUAAAAUAUGGUUGGACCCAUCUCCUCAGAGGAGAGGGGGCUCUCUGUUGUCUUGUCAGCUAAAGAUGUACCAAUGUGCAGGAAGAGCACAGAGAUACAGAAUUCCAUCAAUCAGGAUUUUGAUGUGCCAGAAAGGAGAUGGAUUUAAUCUUCCCUUUAAUUGUUUGUCAUUGUGUACAAGCUGAAAGCAAACGU